UGUUGAUCUUAUUAAUGAUACCUUCUGCUUUGUUAUAAAUGAACGGUUAAUAACAUUGCCUUCUGGGUUAUGAUUGAUGGGAACAUGUAUAAACGUAAGGUAAAUAGAAUAUGGGCAUAUAAGUUCCAAAUAAGGCAUGUUUGAAUUUAUUCCUUAGCUCUUAAAUCUAUUUGCUUAUUAUUGUUUGUGAGGAUUAUUUUAGGAAUUUCACAAAUGCAGAUAAAUUAUGUACUAUAUGAAUUAGCAAUCUGUUUAAAGUCUCUUUUAUGUUUAAGAAAAUAAUGAGUUACAACUUGGAUUUCUAACAGGAUUAUCUCAUCUUAACCAUACAAAAGUCUGGUCCUAGUGGAAAUAGAAGAUUUUUAAGUCUUUUAUAGAGUUGUACCCUUCAUUGUUUAUUGAACAGAUAUUGAUUAAUUUAUUAAGACUGUAAUGAGCGUUGAGCUUCUGUUGGAUUUCUAACACAAUUCAAAACUCUCGGUAUGAUGCCAUGGAGUUCUAGGUGUGACAUGGCCGGGAUUCUUUGACCUCUCACAUCCUUUUCCUCCAUAUCAUUUGUGAUACAUUCUGCAGUUACUCGUAAUUUUGUAAAUUAGAAAGCCCGCGACCCUUGCCUAUUCCGCAGACAAUGUUAUAAACAUGGACAUUACUUUUUUGUGGCUACUGUUCACAGUCCUUCAGCAGCUCCUAAACUUCGUCAAAGGUUGUUCAUUAGCAGUUAUUGGCAGCAAAAGAGUUUAGUGCUCUGUUCUGGACUGUCUGGAGGCCAAUAGAUUCUAGAAUUAACCAAUGCGGAUAUUGCUUCUCAAGAUAUGAAUUGAUACUUCUUAUUCAUGGAGGAAUAUGGAACAAUUGACAAGAUAAUGUUUCUACAUACAAUUAAAGAAUAUCGUGUUAAAAACAAUUGAUCAUUUUCGAAUGCACUAAAUGAUGAUGAAAUUGGGAAAUAUGUGGGAUCUCAUAGCUCAGAUGAUGCAUACACGAUUGCAUUGAGGAGGGAAGAUCUUUCAUAUUUGAUGAGCCAAAGGGAUCACUGGUAUAAACUGAAGAUUCCAUCACAAAAGAAUAUUCAUGUGGGUCAGCUUUAUCUAGUUUUCAGGAAUGGGAUGGGAACAAUGAACCGAGGCUGUGAAUGAUUCAAAACCCUAUGAAAAAGGUUUUUCAUAUUGCUAAGAAAAAGCUGAAGCAGGAGAUUUGGUAGAGAUUGAUGAUGCAACAGUUGAAGUCUCAAAAUCACCAAUCUUGAAUGAGAGACUUAUGAAGCAAAGACCUGGGAAAAAUAAUUAUAAAAUGGUUUCAUUUUUCAACAGUAUUCUUGACCAAGUAUUUGAAAUGGAUGCUUGAUGUGACUAUCACUUGUUUUUGCCUGAUGAUAUAGUAAAACUUUGUUGGUGAUUGGAAGUUGAAGAGCCAGAUGAUGCUACGGAAGAAAAGGAAAAAUAGUUGUUGAAGCCAUUGCAAAUAUGCUUGUGCUGGGUUCUAACUUGCUAUCCAAGAAUAAGCAAGCCUCUGAAAACUUUCUUGUUGAGAAGCAGCUUAACUCAGAUGAACUUGAUUUGGAGAAAAGAGCCAGAAUUGAGGUUCUGAUGCUUUUGUUUGAUAUGGACACUCUGGAAGGAGGCAUCAUAUAAUUUCAACUUAUUGAUGUUGACCUUAUUGCUGAAGUAAAGAUUAUCUCUGGAUCAAGAAGUUACUGGAAGUAACUAGCAUGGCAUAAUCCCAUUGAAGCAUGGUUUUUAAGUGGAAUUUAGUUUGACAACAGUCUCAGGCAUUAAAAAAAAUAUGUUGAGACGGGAAGGAAAUAGAUAUCUUAAAUUCUUCGAGUAUUCGGAAAGAAAUGCUAAUGUAUGUCUCAAAUCUUGUACCGGAUCUUGGCCAAAGGUGGAAAUGUCAAAGCUCUCUUUACCCCAACACUUCAGAAAUUGAAUUUGGAUUUCUCUCCAACCAGAGGAGCCUGGUCAGAAUUGUUAAGGAGUACGGACAGUAUAAACAGAUAUAGCAAAUUAUAACAUUGAAAUACAGUUUAUUUGAAGAUAAUAGACAGAUUAAUAUAAUUGGUAGCUUUUAAAUCUGUAUUUAUGUUUAUCAGUUUCAAACUAGGCCUAUUUUUGGAAUGUCACUAAUUGCAGUAGUUCCUGUAAUGUUUGAUUAGGCACUUGUAUUAUGGCCCUUUAUGUUUAGUAUUAGCAUUGGAAUUAUAGGUUGAGACUUAAUAGGAUCAGCUUCCCUUUUCCACAAAGAAGUGUAGUCCUACUGGAAAAGGGAGAGUUUUGGAGUCUCUGCCAGAGAAAGGAGUCAGUUGGGGGGUCGGACCCAGUGUCUCUCCUAACUUGUUUACAAUCUCAAAAGUUUUGUAAUGAAAUUAAAUACUUUUGCCCCCGAGGAAUUUGUAAUUGGCUCUCAUACAAGUCAAAUUGUCCAUCUGCCUCCCAAGACUUGAGACUUAUCACUUCAUUGAGCUUCUUAAGAGGCUUCAGCUUCUUUUGGAUUUUGUUAUGGAGGUUGAUAGUUUGAUUUGUUUUGGUGUACAAUACUGUAGACUAUGAUGACAACUGCUGGAUAACGAUAGACGAGUACACAUGAUAGUCAUAUUUUUGGUUGGGUUUACACAACUAGCCCUGAGUCUUUGGUUGAACAGGUAUUGUUAAUGGGAAUACUGCCAAACUUUUCUUGAAAUCAGGCAAUACAUGAGGAAAUAACUUAUUUGGGGGGAGGGGGGGUAGGGAAUUAUGGGCAUUUAUUUUUCUCAUGACUCAAAUACACUUGAGAAAUUCCAAGAUGGAGGCUAGAUCUUCCAGCAUCAAUAACAUUUCUUGGGGUUUAGAUGAGUUUCACUUGUUUCUCCUACAGUUGCAUUGAAUUAACCUGAGUGCUUACUGCCAUUUGCUUUGCUAAAGUUCACAUAACUCUUUCUCCAUCCAAGGAGCAGCCCUAUAGUCUUAUAGUUCAUUUUUGUUCUCUGAACUUUUCAAUGUAACAUGGUAUGCAUGUGAUUUUCGCAUAGGUAUUUUCUGAUAUCGUCAAAUUCAUUGAUGAAACCCUGCUUUAAUGUGCUCGGAGUUAGUAUAUGUAC